AAACGCUGGAAUCUUGUUAAAUGGAGCUUUUUUAUCUUCUCCUUUCUCGCUCAUUACGGUGAUGUUUUCCUUCAGAUCCCUGAGGAAAGACUCCAGCUGAUGGUUACAGAAAUGAGUCUCCAGAGUAAUCCUACUCGAUUCUUUGCCCUCGAGGGUGAAAAAUGACCACAGACGUGGACA